rnacentral:rRNA from 1 species
UAGGGAAUCUUCCACAAUGGACGCAAGUCUGAUGGAGCAACGCCGCGUGAGUGAAGAAGGGUUUCGGCUCGUAAAGCUCUGUUGUUGAAGAAGAACGUGCAUGAGAGUAACUGUUCAUGCAGUGACGGUAUUCAACCAGAAAGUCACGGCUAACUACGUGCCAGCAGCCGCGGUAAUACGUAGGUGGCAAGCGUUAUCCGGAUUUAUUGGGCGUAAAGAGAGUGCAGGCGGUUUCUUAAGUCUGAUGUGAAAGCCUUCGGCUCAACCGAAGAAGUGCAUCGGAAACUGGGAGACUUGAGUACAGAAGAGGGCAGUGGAACUCCAUGUGUAGCGGUGGAAUGCGUAGAUAUAUGGAAGAACACCAGUGGCGAAGGCGGCUGCCUGGUCUGUAACUGACGCUGAGACUCGAAAGCAUGGGUAGCGAACAGGAUUAGAUACCCUGGUAGUCCAUGCCGUAAACGAUGAGUGCUAGGUGUUGGAGGGUUUCCGCCCUUCAGUGCCGGAGCUAACGCAUUAAGCACUCCGCCUGGGGAGUACGACCGCAAGGUUG